GGCGAACCGAGCGAACGUUGUUCGGAAUCACUGGGCUUAAAGGGCGCGUAGGCGGGCUGUCAAGUCUGGGGUGAAAUCCCACGGCUCAACCGUGGAACUGCCUUAGAUACUGACGGCCUCGAGGGAGAUAGGGGCGAGCGGAACUGUGAGUGGAGCGGUGAAAUGCGUUGAUAUUCACAUGAACUCCGGUGGCGAAGGCGGCUCGCUGGAUCUUUUCUGACGCUGAGGCGCGAAAGCUAGGGGAGCAAACGGG
rnacentral:rRNA from 1 species